rnacentral:rRNA from 1 species
UACGUAGGGACCAAGCGUUGUUCGGAUUUACUGGGCGUAAAGGGCGCGUAGGCGGCAUGACAAGUCACUUGUGAAAUCUUCGGGCUUAACCCGGAACGGCCAAGUGAUACUGUCGCGCUAGAGUGCGGAAGGGGCAAUCGGAAUUCUCGGUGUAGCGGUGAGAUGCGUAGAUAUCAGGAGGAACACCGGUGGCGAAGGCGGGUCUCUGGGCCGAUACUGACGCUGAGGAGCGAAAGCGUGGGGAGCGAACAGG